AUUGAACGCUGGCGGCAGGCCUAACACAUGCAAGUCGAACGAGUGGCGGACGGGUGAGUAAGGUCUGGGAAACUGCCUGAUGGAGGGGGAUAACUACUGGAAACGGUAGCUAAUACCGCAUACGAUCAGAUGUGCCCAGAUGGGAUUAGCUUGUUGGUGGGGAAACGGCUCACCAAGGCGACGAUCCCUAGCUGGUCUGAGAGGCUGACCAGCCACACUGGAACUGAGACACGGUCCAGACGCCUACGGGAGGCAGCAGUGGGGAAUAUUGCACAAUGGGCGAAAGCCUGAUGCAGCCAUGCCGCGUGUAUGAAGAAGGCUUUCGGGUUGUAAAGUACUUUCAGCGGUGAGGCGUUACCCGCAGAAGAAGCCCCGGCUAACUCCGUGCCAGCAGCCGCGGUAAUAC
rnacentral:rRNA from 1 species